UUCUUGAAUGAUUCAUGAUUAACUUUGUCCAUUCAGUGAUAUGAUUAUAAUUAUUUUUUCUCUUGUUAGGUGGCAGUGUGAUCCACACGCGCUGCACAGAGACGUUAGAGACCAAGACCGCUCUUCUUAGUCUGUUUGGCUUUCCACUGUGGUACCAAUCUCGGUCACCCAGAGCUGUCAUUCAGCCGGAGGUUCAUCCUGGGAACUGUUGGCCAUUUAAAGGUUCCCAAGGCUUUGUUGUCAUCGAGCUUGCUGUCCGGAUCAGGCCUACAGCCUUUACCCUAGAGCACAUUCCCAGAUCCAUUUCUCCUAGUGGAUCAAUUAGAAGUGCCCCUCAAGACUUCUCUGUUUAUGGCUUGGAUGAUGAAAAUCAAGCCGAAGGGGUCCUAUUGGGACAAUACACGUAUAAUGAGGAAGGGGAUUCCAUCCAGACGUUUGAGGUGCAGAAUAAAGAUGCUGCCGUUUACAAAUUCACUGAACUGCGGGUGAAUAGCAACUGGGGCCAUCCAGAAUAUACUUGCCUCUACCGGUUCCGUGUCCAUGGAGAACCAGCCAUGUGAUUCUGGAGCUCGGCUGCCCCGCACUCUACAACACGAACAACCUCUACGUAAUCUGAAUUCAAAGUUGAUUUCCAGCAACAAUGUCAAUUUCUGUCAUAAAUGUUUAUAGUGUUUUAAAUUAUUUAUAAUUAUUUAAUAUUAAAUAUAUUUAGAAUGAAA